rnacentral:sRNA from 2 species
GUGCAGCGCGCCUAGGGAUCCGGUCACACGACGCAGGACCGAGAGGUGCAAGCCGGGCAAGCAGAUCGCGAUGAUCUCACAUAGCCCGGUGACACGGCGGGACAAAAACCCGGGAGAC